UUAAAUGAGAGUAGAAACUACCAUGUUCUGGCAUUUCAAAUGAUUUAUGUUAAACUGGCAGGUCAAGCUGCUAUUGAAGGAGAGAUAUCACCAUAGGUCUUUAUGGUGAGUCUCAGCAGCCGCUUGUGGAUUGAUUGGAGAGGCAUUUCUGUUACGAGGCAUCUUAUUCUGGAGAAUAUCCUGUUCCACGUUCUGAGCAUAUCAAUUUUCAAGAUAUUAACUAGGAAGUUGUACUUUGUAAUAAUUUUCCAGUUCCUGUCCUCAUAAGGGAAAAAAAAAGGAGAGAGACAAAAAAUUGUUGUAUUUCAUGUUUUUCAGUGUUAGCCGUUGGACAACUAGACUGAUCUUGUAAUCCUACAAAUAUUAUCGAUAUUGGUACAUCUUUGAUAGUAUCAGAUGUGAAUCUUUAA